UACGUAGGGGGCAAGCGUUGUCCGGAAUCAUUGGGCGUAAAGAGCGUGUAGGCGGCCCGAUAAGUCCGCUGUGAAAGUCCAGGGCUCAACCCUGGGAUGCCGGUGGAUACUGUCGGGCUCGAGUCCGGAAGAGGAGUGUGGAAUUCCGUGGAUGUAGCGGUGAAAUGCGCAAGAUAUCGGGAGGAACGACCUGUGGCGGAAAGCGGACGCACUGGACCACAACUGACGCUGAGGCGACGAAAGCUAGGGGGAGCAAACAGG
rnacentral:rRNA from 1 species